ACCGAUCCACCACCCACCUAUUCUUCUUGUCCCUCUCCCCCUCGCAAAUCGGAGGCCAAGUACACUGCCCACCCAACCAAGUCAGGAGCAGAACAAGUAGUACGGGCUGUGUUUUCUGCGACGGCGAGCCAAGAGCAGAACAAGUAGUACGGGGCGUGUUCUCUGCGACAGCGAGCAGACCGGAUCGGCGGCGCCAUGUCGCACGACGAGCUCGCCGACAAGGUACGCAGGUUCCUCCCGAUCCGUCCGCGCUAGCUGGCUGGGGCGGCUCCUUGCGGCUGGGCGUCCGAAUUCCGCCCGAUUUGCUUCGACGGAGUGUUUGGUUUACCUGGUUCUGAUGAAUGCGUGGUUUCCGUGUGGCAGGAGCCGUCGUCCUCCGAGGAGUUUCAGCUCGCGCCGACGGAUUCCAAGUUCCGGAGCCUCAGCCCUGCACCGAUUCCGAUCCCAGCUUCUCCGGGCAUCAGAUCAUUGGUCG
rnacentral:lncRNA from 1 species